rnacentral:pre_miRNA from 1 species
AUAAUACUCCCUCCGUCCGGAAUUACUUUUCAUCAAAAUGGAUGUGUCUAGAACUAAAAUACAUGUAGAUACAUCCAUUUCAAUGGCAAGUAUUUUCGGACGAAGGGAGUAGUAG